UGUGAUAAAAAUAGCUUGACAAGAAGGUA
rnacentral:piRNA from 1 species